UACGGAGGGGGCAAGCGUUGUUCGGAAUUACUGGGCGUAAAGGGCUCGUAGGCGGCCAACUAAGUCAGACGUGAAAUCCCCAGGCUCAACCUGGGAACUGCGUCGGAUACUGGAUGGCUUGAAUUCGGGAGAGGGAUGCAGAAUUCCAGGUGUAGCGGUGAAAUGCGUAGAUAUCUGGAGGAAUACCGGUGGCGAAGGCGGCAUCCUGGACCGACAUUGACGCUGAGGAGCGAAAGCUAGGGGAGCAAACGGG
rnacentral:rRNA from 1 species